rnacentral:rRNA from 1 species
UACGUAGGUGACAAGCGUUGUCCGGAUUUACUGGGCGUAAAGAGCGCGCAGGCGGUCGUUCAAGUCGAGUGUGAAAGCCCCCGGCUCAACUGGGGAGGGUCACUCGAUACUGAUCGACUCGAAGGCAGGAGAGGGUAGUGGAAUUCCCGGUGUAGUGGUGAAAUGCGUAGAUAUCGGGAGGAACACCAGUGGCGAAGGCGACUACCUGGCCUGUUCUUGACGCUGAGGCGCGAAAGCUAGGG